GAGAAUGCUGAGAAGAAGGGCAGAGUCUGAGGAGUUGCAAGCCAUUCUCAGAAGAAACAACAAGGGAAGUUCAUAGAUGAGGUUAUUCCUGAAAUUCUUUCCUUUGGUGUGGCCAAGGCCCUGGUUUUGCCUGAGGACAGGUCUCUGAAAAAGACCUCAGGCUGCUGCAGGUGACAGUGUGAAGCUGGGUCUCCAUCCCUGCUACAGGGCUGGUUUUAUGGGAAGUACCUAUGUGGAGACAGCUUGAGUUUCUGAUCAGGUACGUGUGGAGGACAGAGAACAACUUGCAUUCAUGGAGUCGUUCUCUCAUUCCUCCAUGUGGCUGUGGGGCACUGGACUCCCGGAUGUCAGGCUUGGUGACGAAGGAAGGGCCUUUACCUCCUCGCGGUCCCUGAAAUCUGAUUUUGGGAGUCUGUAUUUCUGCAACAUUUUGCAACUAUAGAAAUACAAAGAGAUCAUUUUGGCCUGUAAUCUAGGCCCAGAAGGGUGAGUCAGAAGAAAGCUGAGUUGGAGGCUGGCCUGGGAGACACACCAGGCCUUCUCAAAACAGGAGUAGCGGCUCUCUUCCCACCCCCCACCCCUUUCUUCUCCUUUCAGCGUGGC
ensembl:lncRNA